rnacentral:lncRNA from 1 species
GCCUUAUGCCAUAUGGUCUGGCCGAUAUGUUGUUGCCUUGCGUGUGUGCAUAUGUGCAUGUUGGAGUGGUGAUGCGUGUGCAAGGGUUGAGUGGAUGAAGACUGGGAGCGGGAUAGGGUUGAAAUAGCCUGGGGAAAUAACCCUGGCCGGUAAGUCGCAGAGCAAGUAACUCACAUAAAAUUUCAAAUAAGGCAAGUGCAAUGCACUUUGACACUCUGUAGGAAGAGAGAGAUCCGUGUGUCUUGGGAGGGGAAGUGAUGGUGUGGCCCUUGAAGAUGAGGGUGGAGGAAGGAGGGGAAUGAGGGAAACCUGAUGGUAGGGGAAAUGAUGGCCUUUAUACAGGAUGCUGUAGUGUACCACCCAUAUACCCACUUUAGGACUGGGAAUUUUGGUGGCUAGCAGCUUAUAGCUGAGUCUUAGACCCAACUCCACAAUUAUCCUCAGCUGAGGAGAACUGCCUGUUUUAAUGUCACAUCCCCUUUCCAGGGCGUAUCCUACAUCCAAUGGCUGGUUGAUACAGAGGUUAAAAGGCCUGAUACCCCUGUCCUAAUUUGAGAGAGCUUGGCGGGAUCAUCCCAGAUCCUGAGCCCCCAGUGGGACUGUCUGAGGCCUUUGUACUUGCAUCACAGUCUUCUGGUGGAUUAUUUGUUCUCUCUCCCAGGUGCUGAUCCUGACAGCAUCAUGUCCAGGUAUGAGCCCUGGCUGUAUAUUCUCUCAGCAAAGGCUCUGCAACUGCCGGUUCCUGGAUGUGGGAGAGAGUUCCUUCCAGGUUUCUAUGAUCAGGCUCAUGAAGAAAUAACACCAGGAAAAUCUGCUCUCUCUUAAUAUGUGCAAACAAAUUCAGAAAUGACAUAUUUCAAAGGUAGGUCAUAUCUGAUUUAACAUGCUUCUGGAUUCCACCUAAGAAGUCAUUCCUUGCCUUGUUUCCUCUGCUUCCUCCUUCCCCAGGGCCUGCCAAGGAGCUUUACCUUGUGAAGUGAUGAAUGCAUAUGGGCCACUCACUCUAGCAGUGAUUCUAUUUUUGAAGGGCAAUGAAGUCACGUUUAAGAAUGAGUUUCAUUUAUGAUUAUGCUUGUGGGCAAACUCAGGUAGGAGUUGAUAUUGAUGGUGAACCAUAUGAAAUUUUCAGUUACCAGAAAAUGAAAAAGUUUUGUGAGAAAUGAAGUGUGUCUUUGAAUGAAUGCCACUAAGAAUGUUGUCAGAGGUGACAGGAGGUAUGAAAGUCACCUUCCUUCUUGGCCAUUGGGGAAGACUGAGGCUCAGGAGGCUUUGCUAGGGUCAGUUGUGAACUGAUGUCAGGAGCCAGGAUUAUUGUAUAACUCAGUCCAUUCAUUCCUUUUUUCCAUGCUGAGAGAGUUUUGCUACCUGCAUGAUGUGAAAACACUCAGUAACCUCUGAGGAUCUUCAAAACAUAUCGAUCUAUUUGAUGCUGCAGUGUUUUUCAAUGGCACUUCUCUGUCUAGUUUGUUCUUCUGCCCUCCUGGCAUCGUUCCUUUCUCUAUCAUACAUUUAAUUGCUGUGAUGAACUUUAAGAAUGGCUUCUGCCAAACCCUGAC